GGUUAAGCGACUAAGCGUACACGGUGGAUGCCCUGGCAGUCAGAGGCGAUGAAGGACGUGCUAAUCUGCGAAAAGCGUCGGUAAGGUGAUAUGAACCGUUACAGCCGGCGAUGUCCGAAUGGGGAAACCCAGUGCAAUUCGUUGCACUAUCGUUAACUGAAUACAUAGGUUAACGAGGCGAACCGGGGGAACUGAAACAUCUAAGUACCCCGAGGAAAAGAAAUCAACCGAGAUUCCCCCAGUAGCGGCGAGCGAACGGGGAGCAGCCCAGAGUCUGAAUCAGCUUGUGUGUUAGUGGAACGGUCUGGAAAGUCCGACGGUACAGGGUGAUAGUCCCGUACACCAAAAUGCACAGGUUGUGAACUCGAAGAGUAGGGCGGGACACGUGGUAUCCUGUCUGAAUAUGGGGGGACCAUCCUCCAAGGCUAAAUACUCCUGACUGACCGAUAGUGAACCAGUACCGUGAGGGAAAGGCGAAAAGAACCCCGGCGAGGGGAGUGAAAAAGAACCUGAAACCGUGUACGUACAAGCAGUGGGAGCACCUUCGGGUGUGACUGCGUACCUUUUGUAUAAUGGGUCAGCGACUUAUAUUCUGUAGCAAGGUUAACCGUAUAGGGGAGCCGCAGGGAAACCGAGUCUUAACUGGGCGUUAAGUUGCAGGGUAUAGACCCGAAACCCGGUGAUCUAGCCAUGGGCAGGUUGAAGGUUGGGUAACACUAACUGGAGGACCGAACCGACUAAUGUUGAAAAAUUAGCGGAUGACUUGUGGCUGGGGGUGAAAGGCCAAUCAAACCGGGAGAUAGCUGGUUCUCCCCGAAAGCUAUUUAGGUAGCGCCUCGUGAAUUCAUCUUCGGGGGUAGAGCACUGUUUCGGCUAGGGGGUCAUCCCGACUUACCAACCCGAUGCAAACUACGAAUACCGAAGAAUGUUAUCACGGGAGACACACGGCGGGUGCUAACGUCCGUCGUGAAGAGGGAAACAACCCAGACCGCCAGCUAAGGUCCCAAAGUCAUGGUUAAGUGGGAAACGAUGUGGGAAGGCACAGACAGCCAGGAUGUUGGCUUAGAAGCAGCCAUCAUUUAAAGAAAGCGUAAUAGCUCACUGGUCGAGUCGGCCUGCGCGGAAGAUGUAACGGGGCUAAACCAUGCACCGAAGCUGCGGCAGCGACACUAUGUGUUGUUGGGUAGGGGAGCGUUCUGUAAGCCUGCGAAGGUGUGCUGUGAGGCAUGCUGGAGGUAUCAGAAGUGCGAAUGCUGACAUAAGUAACGAUAAAGCGGGUGAAAAGCCCGCUCGCCGGAAGACCAAGGGUUCCUGUCCAACGUUAAUCGGGGCAGGGUGAGUCGACCCCUAAGGCGAGGCCGAAAGGCGUAGUCGAUGGGAAACAGGUUAAUAUUCCUGUACUUGGUGUUACUGCGAAGGGGGGACGGAGAAGGCUAUGUUAGCCGGGCGACGGUUGUCCCGGUUUAAGCAUGUAGGCUGGUUGUCCAGGCAAAUCCGGAUAAUCAAGGCUGAGGUGUGAUGACGAGGCACUACGGUGCUGAAGUAACAAAUGCCCUGCUUCCAGGAAAAGCCUCUAAGCAUCAGGUAACAUCAAAUCGUACCCCAAACCGACACAGGUGGUCAGGUAGAGAAUACCAAGGCGCUUGAGAGAACUCGGGUGAAGGAACUAGGCAAAAUGGUGCCGUAACUUCGGGAGAAGGCACGCUGGUGUGUAGGUGAAGCCCCUGCGGGUGGAGCUGAGACCAGUCGAAGAUACCAGCUGGCUGCAACUGUUUAUUAAAAACACAGCACUGUGCAAACACGAAAGUGGACGUAUACGGUGUGACGCCUGCCCGGUGCCGGAAGGUUAAUUGAUGGGGUUAUCCGUAAGGAGAAGCUCUUGAUCGAAGCCCCGGUAAACGGCGGCCGUAACUAUAACGGUCCUAAGGUAGCGAAAUUCCUUGUCGGGUAAGUUCCGACCUGCACGAAUGGCGUAAUGAUGGCCAGGCUGUCUCCACCCGAGACUCAGUGAAAUUGAACUCGCUGUGAAGAUGCAGUGUACCCGCGGCAAGACGGAAAGACCCCGUGAACCUUUACUAUAGCUUGACACUGAACAUUGAGCCUUGAUGUGUAGGAUAGGUGGGAGGCUUUGAAGCGUGGACGCCAGUCUGCGUGGAGCCAACCUUGAAAUACCACCCUUUAAUGUUUGAUGUUCUAACGUUGGCCCCUUACCGGGGUUGCGGACAGUGUCUGGUGGGUAGUUUGACUGGGGCGGUCUCCUCCCAAAGCGUAACGGAGGAGCACGAAGGUUAGCUAAUCCUGGUCGGACAUCAGGAGGUUAGUGCAAUGGCAUAAGCUAGCUUGACUGCGAGCGUGACGGCGCGAGCAGGUGCGAAAGCAGGUCAUAGUGAUCCGGUGGUUCUGAAUGGAAGGGCCAUCGCUCAACGGAUAAAAGGUACUCCGGGGAUAACAGGCUGAUACCGCCCAAGAGUUCAUAUCGACGGCGGUGUUUGGCACCUCGAUGUCGGCUCAUCACAUCCUGGGGCUGAAGUAGGUCCCAAGGGUAUGGCUGUUCGCCAUUUAAAGUGGUACGCGAGCUGGGUUUAGAACGUCGUGAGACAGUUCGGUCCCUAUCUGCCGUGGGCGCUGGAGAAUUGAGGGGGGCUGCUCCUAGUACGAGAGGACCGGAGUGGACGCAUCACUGGUGUUCGGGUUGUCAUGCCAAUGGCACUGCCCGGUAGCUAAAUGCGGAAGAGAUAAGUGCUGAAAGCAUCUAAGCACGAAACUUGCCCCGAGAUGAGUUCUCCCUGAGACUUUAAGUCUCCUGAAGGAACGUUGAAGACGACGACGUUGAUAGGCCGGGUGUGUAAGCGCAGCGAUGCGUUGAGCUAACCGGUACUAAUGAACCGUGAGGCUUAACCUU
rnacentral:rRNA from 1 species